GGCAAGGUGGCCGAGCGGUCUAAGGCGCCAGCUUCAGGAUUUCCUGAAUAUCAUACUCGGGUAUGUUUGCUGGUCUCGCAAGAGGCGUGGGUUCGAAUCCCACCCUUGUCA